rnacentral:rRNA from 1 species
AGCUCCAGUAGCGUAUAUUAAAGUUGUUGCAGUUAAAAAGCUCGUAGUUGGAUUUCUGGUACGCUGCGCCUGGCCCGCCGCCUCAUGGUUGGUGUGUGCUGGAGCGCGGUUGCCAUCCUUCUAGAGAACGUUUCUAUCCUUCACUGGACCGGAUUCGCAAUCUAGAUCUUUUACUUUGAAAAAAUUAGAGUGUUUAAAGCAGGCAUUUGCCAUGAAUACAUUAGCAUGGAAUAAUAAUAUAGGACUUUGGUUCUAUUUUGUUGGUUUCUAGGACUAAAGUAAUGAUUGAUAGGGAUAGUUGGGGGUGCUCGUAUUUAGCGGCCAGAGGUGAAAUUCUUGGAUUCGCUAAAGACGAACUUAUGCGAAAGCAUUCACCAAGGAUGUCUUCUUUAAUCAAGAA